GAGAGAGAUGAGGAGACAGACAUUGCGAGAGAGAGAGAGAGAGAGAGAGAGAGAGAGAGAGAGAGCGGGGGGGAUGAGGAGAGACGGGGAUAGUGAGAGGGAGAAAGAGAUGAGGAGAUAGACAUCAGGUGAGAGAGAGAGAGAGAGAGAUGAGGGGAGAGAGGGGUAGUGAGAGGGAGAAAGAGAUGAAGGAGAGAGACAUCAGGCGAGAGAGAGAGAGAGAGAGAGAGAGAGAGAGAGAGAGAUGAGGGGAGAGAGGGGGUAGUGAGAGGGAGAAAGAGAUGAGGACAGACUUCGAGAGAGAGAAAGCGGGAGAGAGUGAGAAGCAGAGAAUUUGAAUUUCAGAGAGGUGCAGAGGUGUCGAAUGAUGAGAGACACACACAGAGAUGGAGGGAUAGAAAGAAACAGAAGUAUAGAGUGAUAAGAGACAGAAUAAGAGAGAGAGAGAGAGAGAGAGAGAGAGAGGGAUGUGGUGGAGGUGUUUGUGGAUUUGGGGAAGACUGAUGAUUCUGUCCCUCUGCACGCUGGAGUCGUUUAUAAUAAAGACACCACAGCCUCCACUCUCACAGACACUCUCACCUACUCUCUCUCCCUCGUGCUCUCUUUUUUUCCCUCCUGUCUCUUAUCGCUCUACACUUCUGCGCUCUCUCUCUCCCCCCUUUCCAAACAUUAGACAGCUCCACUCAGGCGUUAUGUUUUCCUCAGGAUAAACGGAGCACAGGCACGAACACCGCACGGGUAUCUGCGCAGAGUCACGCUAACAUGACGCUAACAGAGUUAGUAGGACAUCCUUCCUUCCUUCCUUCCUCUCUCUCUGUCCAUCAUUGCAUCACAGACUCGCAACUACCUCGGGACACCGCCCCGUCGCUGAUGACUUACCCGUCACCGUACGCCCACGGCGUGCUUUCUUUCUUUCUCCUUUACGCGGCGGAUAGGAAAUGGAAACGCGGCGUCCUUAUGGGUGUGAUUAGAAGCCCUGUGUCAAGCUCGACGACUGCUUCACUCAGAAAUGCUUGUUUACAGAGGAAAAGGAAUGUGAGCGGAAUGUGACCUUCUGAAACACGGGCUGCAGGGCUCGCAGGAGUAAUCGGAGCGAUAAUACGAUGCGUGUACGGUGGUGUGUGUGUGUGUGUGUCGCUGUGUAAACAAACGCUAGCUUUGCUAAAACUGUACGUGCAUCCAGUGGCUGUACGAUGACAGAAUAUAAACAUCCUUUGCUAACAUUAGCGCCGUCUGAGCGCCCGGAGCUAUUCUGACACCAAAAUUAACGGGACGGGGGGUUUAGGAUUACCACAUCGGACGGGGUAAAAAGGCCUCGGCUGUAAGCGAGGGAGCAGACGGGGAGACGGGAGGAAGAGACGUCUUUUACGCUCCGCGAACAGACGCCCGGCUCCUCCACGUCCGAUACGAGCGGACAUUAAAGUGCGCCUGUUACGCUUUUUCAGAUACGACCUUCCCUGUAGUGUGUUAUAUACGUAGCCGUUUGUGUACGUGAAAAAAGUCGGCAAAGUUUCAAAAAUCCAAAGCUACUGACUCCCAAACGAAGGAACCGGUUCUGAACGGCUGAAACGAGUCGUCAGUAAAUCCACACUUUACUUCCUUUACUACAACAAAACAAACAAAAAAAACAAACAAAAAAAACUCCGCCUCUGGUCUUUUGACGUUGCGUCCUGAAAGAGAUCUAGAAAGUUUUCGGCACCGCAAAGGCGAAUCCGCUUUGCACGGACUCUCAAAGGACGAGGACGUAAAGCGUCAGUGGCUAGAGUUCGUUUUAAAACGAUACCUCGGCGGCUCGACUCCGACCUUCGCCGGCGUGAAGUUGAAACUCGACGGAGCUGAAACUCGGAUACGGUAGUGGGCGUUUCCUUUUCGACGCGUGCUGCAAGUCCGAUCACGACAGACCGGGACGUCUGACCAAUCAGAGCAGAGUAUGAGUUUAGAACGAAUCAUUUAGAGCGGAUCAUUGAACGAGUCGUUUGAGAAAACAGGGGGGUGUCAUCACUCUCUCGAUGACACACACAUCCUGAGACACCCUGACGAGACAUGAGCCGAGUGACAGAUUUCAGACGCGUCUGCCGCUUUCCAGGCUUUAAACACACCGCUCUGUGCUCGCUGUGUGAAGAGGCCACAGCACAAUGUUAACCUCGGGCGGUUACCGUAGCAACAGCAAUGCCACGCACAGCUAGAGCCCGAAGGCUAUACAUAGAAGAAAACAAAAACAUGACGUUCAUGUCAUCUUAAUACGAGAGCGCGUGCUGUCGGGGGGCGUGGCCAUGCAUCGUUACUAGGUCACAUGACCAUAACAUGUCCAUACCUGUGCGAGGAUCGCGAUAACUCGCCCAAAACCCCCGCGGAAGUGUCGUUGUGGGUCUGUGCUUUAUCGUUGCGCGAUUUUAAACUUGUGAGGAAAGUGCGAGUGCUUCCGGACAUGUCUUUGUACCGAAGAACAAGCGAGAAAACCUCAUUUCCUACAGGACACGACGCAAUCUUUACACGCAGUUUGCAUAUUUGACGCUUUCUCCUCGCACAACUUCUGGCUUCCCUCACGUUUCUGCUUGAGGCGGCAGAACAAAUUUGACGCGUGUCCACCGUUGGCUUUGGACACGCUUUAUGAAUCACGGACGUUUGAUUCGCACCCGAUCUUCUGAAUCCGAGCCGCUUCCGUAUUACCCAGGAAGCUCUUUUUUUUUUUGGAUGUUAACUCCGCCUCGUCGUCUAGGGUUGGAUCGCCAACGUGUGAGAUGCCCGCCUUGCGGCGCGUAAACACGUCAUCGGCGAUACAGCUGCCAGUAUUCAUCACGUGGUUGCUAUAAGUGUGUGACGACAGGUGAUGGAAAACGAUCUUAAUCGCACGUCUACUGCACACAGACACUGAACAUAGUGAUUUGCGCAGUGGAGAGGAAGGAACCUGGGUUGGGCGAGAGUAGGGCUGGGCGUCAUACCGAUAUAACAUCCGUAUCGUGAUGAAUGACUACGCAAUACACUUUUCUGAGAUAUCGUCGGUAUGGUGAUGAUACGCAUCAUGCAUGACAGAAACGUCCUCAGGUACCGUGAUAUGAUAUUUGUGUCAUAUCGCCAAGCCCUAGGUGAGAGAACGAGCCGCCAUUUUGUGCGCGGAUAAGCGACGUGGCUAGCGUCGCUCUGACUGAAGCGAGAGAACACGGCUGAUUCGGGUCAGUUCACGGUGCUGGCGUUCAUACUCGAGGCGCGAGUGAACGCAACGCCCGGCGUGAGAAACCCCACAACGAGACGACGCGCUCGUCGACGGCGCGUCACGUUCCGUCGGUUUCCAAGCAGUCAAAACUCGGGACUGGGCGUCACACCUGAGCUUUCCCCUGCAGGAUUUGAUCAUCUGUCCAGCCCCUGGAGCGAGUCCAGAGUAAACAUCCGCUCUUUUCUCGAAUCUCUCGUCUGCGGUGGAACGGUCGUACGGUUAAAAACGAGCCGGACGGAGAUCAGGAUGGAAGCGAAGCCUUUUAUAUUGCGCUCGUAUUCUGGAGGUCUGUACAGGUGCUCUGAUCAACCUGGAUCUUUGACCUCCAUUGAGAAUACUCCUCUAUUUGUAGAAUAAUGGGAUGUUAAAUAGGCUACAGAGCCUGGAGGAGCUGGCCUAUUUUCCAAACACACACACACACACACACACACACGGACGAGUCCUCUUCCAGAACGUUCUGAUCUGUAAAGUUUGGACGCUGAUGGUGGGCUGUGCACUGAGGACCAGCAGAAUGAAACGCACCAUAAAUAGACAGAGACUCAAUUAUGACAAGAGGACUGGAAGAGCACAAAGCAGCAGCAGAAGCGGUGGCCUACAUUAACACACACCAACCUACAGCCCUGAUCGCGCUCAGCCUCGACUGACGCGCCGCUGACUGCCGGACCUGCUCCUGAAUCUCAACACUGUUACUGAUGACAUAAUAAUAGUAUAAAGAUCUCUGAUGCAUCAACAGCGACGCCUCCCACGUUCUCGCGACCCUCCUAUGGGCGUCUCCAUGGAAACAUCUGUCACCCCCCAACCAAAAAAACCCCAAACAACAACAACAAAAUUGGGCUUGAUAGAAAGACAUCAUGUUGGGAAUCUUUUUUUUUUUUUUUUUAAAUAAAAGAGAAGCUUUAUAGCUUAUGGAUGGAUAGCAUAUAGGGAGUCAUUUUAAAAUGGCGAAAAUAAAAAUGGUCUGGCUUUAAAGCUUAUAUUAAUAAUAAAUAAAUAAAUAGACAGACAGACAGAUAGUCAGAUAGAUAGCUUGCUUAAUGGAUAGAAAGAAAGAAAGACAGAUAGACAGACAGAUCAACAGACUGAUAGAUGGAAAGACAGACAGACAGAUAGUUUGAUAGAAAGAAAGAAGGAAAUAAAGAAAGACAGACAGAGUCAUCAAUGGACAGAUAGAUAGAAAUACAGACAGAUCAAUAGACGGCGAUAGAUCGACUGAUCAGUGGAGAGCUCGAUAGAAAGAUAGAUAGACGGAUAGUUUGAUAGAAAGGAAGACGGAAAUAAAGAGACAGAUACAUCAAUGGAUGGAGAGAUAGAUAUACAGAUAGAUCGAUAGACAGACAAGAUAGAGUGAUCGAUUAAUAGGUAGUUCAACAGAUACAUAGACAGACAGACAGAAAGAUAGAAAGAAAAAAGGAAAUAAAGAAAGAGACAGAUAUACCAAUGGAUAGAUCGAUAGACAGAUACAUCAAUGGAUAGAUAGAUAGAUAUACAGACAGACAGACAGAUAGAUCGACAGACAGAGUGACCAAUGGAUAGUUCAAUAGAUAGAAAAAGAUAGACAGACAAAUUUAUCGAUAGAUACAGUAGGUAGAGAGAUAGGAAGAUAGAUAGAUAGAUGAUAGAGAGAUACACAGAUUAUUAUUGCACAUAUUUAAGUAAUGAGCCUAACAUUAGUAUAUAAAAGGGUGAAUGUGGAAUUUAUUUUAGAGUUAAAAUGCUGAAGAAGUUAUAAACUGGUUAUAAACCAAUCCCACUAACUGUUGCCCUGGUGAUGAUUGUGAUACUGAUCGCUAGAGUUCUAUCACAGGGUUAUAAACAUCAGGGCUGCGAGCAGGCGAGAAACCAGCGCUGCGUGAGUUAUUAGUAACUAUUAGAGCUCUAUGAUGACGAAUAGCUGCGUUGUGGAGGAUCUCAACACUAGCGUACACAUCCUGAAACGUUCCAAACUCCCGACUCAACUCAUCAUCCCUCGAGCCGAACUGCGUCUGUCAGAGGAAUGAUUAUCAAAUAAUAAAUAAAUAAACAGAAAUCUCAGCACAGUGGUGAGCCCAAGCCCCUCGAACCACGCCCUGUCCGAACGAUAUCGAUCUACGUUACCCACGAUGCAUUUCAUCUACCUGCGGACAGCAGCGUCGUAGUGAUGAGAUUUAUCCCUCGCUUCCUGAAAGCGAUGCAGCGGCGCUUUAGCGCUUUAGCCUGUCCUGCUCUCUCCUCACCUGUACAUCUCUACCUAGCCUCCGGCCGUAACUCGGCAUCGUGUAACCGCACUGCAUUCUGGGAAGACUCCUGCGCUGGAUUUCUCGUUAACGUGACGCUGGAAAACGGCGAGCCAGAAAAGAUAAAACCCCCGUCUGUUACGUAUGUUUCAGAUCGGUGAAUUUGUUCUCAUGGAUAUUUUUUUUUGUCCUAUUCUAGCUACUUCAGCAAUAACAGGACAUCUCACAGGAAUAAUGAAAAUGCACGAAAACACCAACCGAGACGUCACUAAACACACAGGUCAGAAAUAUUUCAAUAUAAACAUGUUUAGUUUACCUUGAAGCACAAACAAACAAACAAACAAACAGAUAGGUAGACCAAUAAAUAAAUAAACGCACGCGCAUAUUUCCUGCAGAUGUAAACAUUAGGAUUAACCACUAUUUUUUUUAACACUGUAAUAAACACAGAGUUUAUUAUCAUUUUUAUUUAAAUCGAGGAUGUUUCACCUUAAAACCAACAAUGUUUACACACCGAGUAUUCACUUUCAUUGCUAACUCUUACACACUUCAUUAAAGCUAAAGGCACUGAGGGGCUCAGUAAUGCUGCUAGCUAACCUGUAAUGCCUCUCUGCUUUGUAUAAAACUCUACAGAGACGUUCAAAUUGAAGGUUGUGUUAUGAACAUACUCGAAUUUUGCUGUCAGUGCCGAGACUGUCCGCCUUUACCAUGCUAACCGUCAUAACGUGGGCCAGAGAAGGCGAAGCCCAGAUCACGACACAGCUCCAAAAAAACACGUCUCCUGCCUGUAAACCUGCUCGUUUUUCAGUAAAUACGCUUCAAAACGCCUCCGAGUUGUUUUUUGUCCCACCAGCUAGCAUGUAUGCUAACGCAUUUGGUGGAAUUAUUCUAGCUAACGCGCUGCCACUGCUAGCAAGCGACGGCUUCAUUUCGCAGCGCGCGCUCGCUUACUUACCAUUUUGUCGCGCGGUUGGUCUUCGGUUAUUUAUUUAUUUUCCUUAAAAUUAGUAUUAUUGUUAUUAUUUCCCCGAAUCCGGGUUGUUUUUCGUUUCGGCUUGUGUUUUGUUGUUGUUGUUUUUUUUCCCCAGCAGGGUCAACAACCAAAGCCUGUCGGUGUGAGAGUCAGCCCCCCUCGGAGCGUUCGUGUUAUGGACGGAUGACGGAUCUCACUGCGGUAAAGUCUCGGGCAGCGCCGCAGCACGGAAACAGGAGGAGCGGCUUCAGCUCAGCGCUCACUGCCGGGGAGGAGGAGGGGGGG
ensembl:lncRNA